rnacentral:rRNA from 1 species
AGUGAACGCUGGCGGUAGGCCUAACACAUGCAAGUCGAACGGCAGCACAGUAAGAGCUUGCUCGUACGGGUGGCGAGUGGCGGACGGGUGAGGAAUACAUCGGAAUCUACUUUUUCGUGGGGGAUAACGGAGGGAAACUGACGCUAAUACCUCAUACGACCUACGGGUGAAAGCAGGGGGUCUUCGGACCUUGCGCGAUUGAAUGAGCCGAUGUCGGAUUAGCUAGUUGGCGGGGUAAAGGCCCACCAAGGCGACGAUCCGUAGCUGGUCUGAGAGGAUGAUCAGCCACACUGGAACUGAGACACGGUCCAGACUCCUACGGGAGGCAGCAGUGGGGAAUAUUGGACAAUGGGCGCAAGCCUGAUCCAGCCAUACCGCGUGGGUGAAGAAGGCCUUCGGGUUGUAAAGCCCUUUUGUUGGGAAAGAAAAGCAGCAGGUUAAUCCCCCGCUGUUCUGACGGUACCCAAAGAAUAAGCACCGGCUAACUUCGUG